UACGUAGGGGGCAAGCGUUGUCCGGAUUUAUUGGGCGUAAAGAGCGUGUAGGCGGCCAAGCAGGUCUGCUGUGAAAACUCGAGGCUCAACCUCGAGACGUCGGUGGAAACCGUUUGGCUAGAGUCCGGAAGAGGAGAGUGGAAUUCCCGGUGUAGCAGUGAAACGCGUAGAGAUGCGGAGGAACACCGAUGGCGAAAGCAGCCCCCUGGGCUAACACUGACGCUCAGGCACGAAAGCGUGGGGAGCAAACAGG
rnacentral:rRNA from 1 species